UAAAAAUUAUAGGGUAAAUAACGAAUAUCUUACAGCAUAAAAGUUUCUGGCGUCUAAUCGAGCGAAAUAUACAAUGAGUCGAAAAAUUACUUAGAAUUGUAAAUUCCAGCAGAGAAAUCUAACAUUUAAAUAUUGUUCUUACCUAAUUAAGUGAAACAUCUCAAUAGUUAGAGGAAAGAAAAAUAAUUAAAGAUUUUGUUAGUAAUGGUGAGUGAAAACAAAGUAGCCAAAAUUUAAAUUUAAGAAAUUAGAAGUUUUAUAUGAUUUAAACGCCACAGAAGGUGAAAGCCCUUUAUAUUUUUCUUAUUUUUAUCUAAAUAAAUUAGUAAAAUAGAAUCUGUGAAAUUCUAUUGGAAGAAGGCAAACCCAUUUGCUAAGGCUAAAUAUACUUUUAUGACUAAUAGUGAACAAGUACUGUGAAGGAAAGAUGAAAAGACAAAGUUAAAAGAUCUUGAAAUUGUUUACCUUAAGGAUCUAAAGCACAAAAUGUGUUAUAGGGUGCCUUUUGCAUAAUGAGCGGGCGAUUUCUAAAGAGCUAGCAAACUAUAGUCGUUAGAUAAAGGUGAAGUGAAAGCGAGCUUUAAUUAAGCGUUAAGUUAGUUUUUUGAGACUCGAUACUAAGCGAUCUAUUUACUGCCAGAUUGAAAGUACUUUAAUACGUACUGAAGGAUCGAACCCAUGUAUGUUGCAUAAUACCGGGAUGAGUGGUAGCUAGGGGUGAAAGGCUAAUCAAGCUUAGUGUUAGCUAGUACUCUACGAAAUCUAUUUAGGUAGAGCGUUUUGUUUACAUUAUUGUCGGUAGAGCUCUAGGUAAGUAAUGGGAAUUAAUACUUCUACUGAGUUUACUUAAACUACGAAUGGCAAUAAAUUCUUUUUACAGAACAGGCAGAUUGCGGGCGCGAAGGUUCGUAAUCAAAAGGGAAACAGCCCAGAAUAUCAGCUAAAGUCCAUAAAAAUAAUUAAGUGUAUGAAAUAAUUCAAAGUGUUAUAACAAUUAGGAGGUUGGCUUAGAAGCAGCCAUCCUUUAAAGAAAGCGUAACAGCUCACUAAUUUUAUAAAAGCAUUAUAGAGUUUUAUGAUAUAACGGACUAAAAUUAUUUACUAAAGCUAUAUGUAAAUCGGUAGUAGAGUAUCUUAUAAUUUAAUAAGGUAAACUCGUGAGAGUUUGCUGAUAUAUUAAGAGAAAGUAUGCCUGUAUGAGUAGCAAAGAAUAGUGAGAAACUAUUCCACCGUAUAUAUAAGGUUUCCUAUUUAUAAAUUUAUUUUAAUAGGGUUAAUCGGCCCCUAAGUUUUAUAAUGAAAAUUAUAGGCGAUGGGUUUUGGGUUAAAAUUCUCAAAUUUUUCAGCAAGUGACAAAGGCGGCAAAUUAUCCAGUUUUAGUUAAUUAAUUGGGUAGUUAUGACCUUUCUGGAAAAAGCUCUGAAGUAAAAAACCGUACUUAAAUCGGCUCCGAUAUUUUAAUAGAGUAUAUUAAGGUGAUAGGAUAAUAAUAUUGAAGGAACUCGGCAAAAUAGCUCCGUAACUUCGGGAGAAGGAGUACCUUUCGUAAGCAAUUACUUAUAGGUGUAACAGAAUAGAGGGUAGCGACUGUUUACUAAAAACACAGGACUCUGCUAAGUUGUAAAACGAUGUAUAGGGUCUGACACCUGCCCGGUGCUGAAAGACAAAAAGGAUUGGUAGAAAUGCCAUGAAUAUAAAUCUCAGUAAACGGCGGCUGUAACCAUAACGGUCCUAAGGUAGCGAAAUUCCUUGUCGGGUAGAAUUGGAACUUGCCCGAUUAACGUAGUAAUGCGUUAUAGUAAAUCAGCUAAUAACGGUGAAACCCUAAGUUUUAGUUUAUUCUAAAAUAUGGCAAUACCGUGGGAACGAUUAUCCUAGAACGUAAAAUUUGAAUAAUUGACCCGUAACGACUGAGUCGAAAGAUGAGAUUUGUUUUUAUAAAAACAAAUAAAACGCUGACCCCUUUUGUUCAAAUUUAUUAUGAAGUAUUAACUAUAGAAUUAAAAAUUAUAAAAAUAAUGCAAGAAUUGAAUUUUAAAAAGAAAUCAUUUGUUGAUCCCUUUUGAAUAACUGGUUUUGUUGAUGGAGAAGGUUGCUUUUGUGUUAGCUUUAAUUUGAAGCAGCGCUUAGUUUUGGGUAUAGAGGUAAGGCCAAGUUUUUCCAUAUCUCAGACUAAAGAUAAGGAAGGUUUAAAUUUAAGUUGUCUUCAGGACGUUUUGAACUUUUUUUCUUGCGGAUCUAUUCGUUUUUCGAAAAGAGAUAACACUUGAAAGUAUGAGUGUCGUGACCUAUCAGAUAUACGAUCGAAAAUAUUACCUCACUUUGAAGAUUUUAGGUUGAGGACAAAAAAGUUAAAGGAUUUUGAGUUGUUUAAAAAGGUUGUCAAUUCUGUUGCGGCCAAACAGCAUUUAAAUGAAUUUGGUCUUCGUUCUAUCAUCGAAAUUUCUUAUCAAAUAAACAUUGGCAAAAGAAAAUUAACAAAAGACUCUUUAUUAUCUAAAAUUAAUGUUAAAAAU
rnacentral:rRNA from 1 species